CAGUAGCCGCGGGAAAACGUAGGGUGCAAGCGUUAAUCGGAAUUACUGGGCGUAAAGCGUGCGCAGGCGGUUAUAUAAGACAGAUGUGAAAUCCCCGGGCUCAACCUGGGAACUGCAUUUGUGACUGUAUAGCUAGAGUACGGCAGAGGGGGAUGGAAUUCCGCGUGUAGCAGUGAAAUGCGUAGAUAUGCGGAGGAACACCGAUGGCGAAGGCAAUCCCCUGGGCCUGUACUGACGCUGAGGAGCGAAAGCGUGGGAGCGAACAGGAUUAGAUACCCGCGUAGUCCCUGUCUCUUAUACA
rnacentral:rRNA from 1 species